UUCCGGUUGAUCCUGCCGGAGUUACUGCUAUCGAUGUUCGACUAAGCCAUGCAAGUCAUAUGUUCCUCUAGAACAUGAACUGCUGCUCAACACCUGGUGAAUCAGCUGUUCUUGUGUCUGGGAUAACCCCAAAAAACUGAUGAUAAUACAUAAUAAUGCUCUGCGUGCUAGUACUGCUUCGAGUAUUACAGAUCGUCGCCUCAAGGAUGGGUCUGCGGCUAUCAGGUAGUAGUGGGUGUAGAUGUACUACUAGCCUACGACGGGUACGGGUUGUGAGAGCAAGAGCCCGGAGAUGGAUUCUGAGACAUGAAUCCAGGCCCUACGGGGUGCAGCAGGCGCGAAAACUUUACAAUGCUGGCAACAGCGAUAAGGGAACAUCGAGUGCCAGCAUCAUAAUCUGGCUGUCCAGAUGUGUAAAAAGCAUCUCAUAGCAAGGGCCGGGCAAGACCGGUGCCAGCCGCCGCGGUAACACCGGCGGCUCGAGUGGUAACCGUUAUUAUUGGGUCUAAAGGGUCUGUAGCCGGCCGGAUCAGUCUUCCGAGAAAUCUGGCAGCUUAACUGUCAGGCUUUCAGGAGAUACUGUCAGGCUCGGAACCGGGAGAGGUAAGAGGUACUACAGGGGUAGGAGUGAAAUCUUGUAAUCCUUGAAAGACCACCAGUGGCGAAGGCGUCUCACCAGAACGGAUUUGACGGUGAGGGACGAAAGCUGGGGGCACGAACCGGAUUAGAUACCCGGGUAGUCCCAGCCGUAAACGAUACUCGCUAGGUGUCGGGCACGGUGCGACCGUGUUCGGUGCCGCAGGGAAGCCGUGAAGCGAGCCACCUGGGAAGUACGGCCGCAAGGCUGAAACUUAAAGGAAUUGGCGGGGGAGCACCACAACGGGUGGAGCUUGCGGUUUAAUUGGAGUCAACGCCGGGA
rnacentral:rRNA from 1 species